rnacentral:rRNA from 1 species
CAGGGAAUUUUGCGCAAUGGACGAAAGUCUGACGCAGCAACGCCGCGUGGGGGAUGAAGGCCUUCGGGUUGUAAACCCCUUUCAGGAGGGAAGAAAUUGACGGUACCUCCAGAAGAAGCACCGGCCAACUACGUGCCAGCAGCCGCGGUAAUACGUAGGGUGCGAGCGUUAUCCGGAAUCAUUGGGCGUAAAGAGCUCGUAGGCGGUUCAGCAAGUCGGCUGUGAAAGUCCGAGGCUCAACCUCGGAAUUGCAGUCGAUACUGUUGUGACUCGAGUCCGGUAGAGGAGAAUGGAAUUCCCGGUGUAGCGGUGGAAUGCGCAGAUAUCGGGAGGAACACCAGUAGCGAAGGCGGUUCUCUGGGCCGGCACUGACGCUGAGGAGCGAAAGCGUGGGGAGCGAACAGGAUUAGAUACCCUGGUAGUCCACGCUGUAAACGUUGGAUACUAGGUGUGGCGGUCUACCAACGACUGCCGUGCCGAAGCUAACGCAUUAAGUAUCCCG